UCUGUGUGUGUGUGUGUGUGUGUAAUGAGAAAAAGUCACACACACGUGACGAACAUGUUUUUCCUCUGCAGCAGCACAGCACCAUCCGCCCUGAAGUCUAAGCUGCGCAGCUUCCCUCUCUGCAUUCAACUUGGACGUGUUACUGGCCGUUUUUAAACAGCAUUGAUUUCCGAACGGAAUAUAUUCAAUAUUGCUGUGACUGUGUACUUGUUCUUCCUGUGCCGGCAGCUGAUCAUGCAUGUGUUUUUCAGCUUACCCUGCGAUGGAGGGGCAUUCCAUACAGGGUUCUUCUGGGAUCCAGGAUCCGGACCACCGCAACCAUCACCUGAACAAGGUUAAUGAUAAAACCGACGAAUGAUAGGAUUCACAGCCUUAAGAUCAUGUUUGUCUUCCAUUCAGCUAUUGAUCACCCAGUUAAGUCAAUUAAUUUAACUUUGUUUAGAAGGAAGUUCUGUAUUACUGGUCUACAGAAAACCGUUUAACUCAUUCUAAUAGCAAUGCUAAUAUUGCAUCAAUUUUCACUAACAUCUUAUCAAAUUACGGUGGCAGAGAUCCACAGCCAGCACUAGUUCUUUACAGGGUACACACAAGUAAACAGGCUCUCCAGAACUUCUGAUCAUUGGGAUUUUUGUCAUAGGGUGAAGCCACAUUACCAGGAGCAAAUCUGCAUGAACCCAACAAGACCACCCAAACUCCAUAUAGAGAGAGCACUUAGCAUUUGGUUUCCAAUGAACAGCCUUACCAUUAAUGCUAUUAUGUGUUUUCUAAGUAUGAGUACUCCAGGAUCCACUGCUUCUUGUGAUUUAUUGUCUCUGAUACAUACUUCCUGUCCUAACAAAGUCCCUCAAAGACAUUUUAACAUAUUUCAGUCUAACAAAUACAAUUCUUAUGGGUUGAAGUUUGAUGAAGCAGUGUUUUUUCAGUUGAAAGUUGUCAUUAGUCUCCAGAUGCUUCAGUUAUGUCCUUGAGCUUUGGAAGUGAAACCAUGGAAGAGCUUCACACCAAGGCCUGGAGCUCACAGGCCGGUGUGACAUGCUGAGGGCCCUCGUGAGUUUCUUUGCUACAGGUAAUCCCACAAAGCCUCCUGCUAUCCUCGCUUAGAGACAAACAUGACAAGACUUAUUCCUUAUAGCCACACAGAAAAAUGUUAAUCGCAUGUAUGUAAUAGCGUGUAUGUACAGGGAUGAGUUGGUGGGUAUGUCUAUACAGUACCUUUAGAAAUUAUUCACACACACACACACACACACACACACACAAUUCCCUUUUAUACCUCUGCUUUUCCUCUGUGACAUCAUUGUAAAAUGGCAUCAUUGUAACAAAUUUGUGCAGUAAUUUUUUACUUAUGCUUUUCAACUUUUUCAAAAUGAAAAACAGUUCAGAUGAUUUAAAACUUAUAUUACAAAUAAAGAGGGGAUGCAGUGGUGCA